AACGAAAGGGGCUAGAGUUGAUUGGAAUUACUGGGCGUAAAGCGCACGUAGGCGGCCUUGUAAGAUGGGGGUUAAAUCCCCGGGCUCAACCCGGGAACUGCCUUCAUGACUGCAAAGCUAGAGGAUGCGAGAGGUUAGCGGAAUUCCGAGUGUAGAGGUGAAAUUCGUAGAUAUUCGGAAGAACACCAGUGGCGAAGGCGGCUAACUGGCGCAUUUCUGACGCUGAGGUGCGAAAGCGUUGCGAGCAAGCAGG
rnacentral:rRNA from 1 species